AGGGAUGUCCUCGAAUAAUGGAUGAUGAUCGGGCCAGCUAUCGGAGGAGUUACUUAACUGAUCUGACAUAGCGAAAGCAAAUGACAGCAACGCCUGUGGCCGAGCGGAAAAUCACGGGCGUUACCUCGGCGGGGAGUCGCUCCGGCAGGUAGUGAAGACGGUAGCGAAGUAAAGUGUUAGAGUGAUAUGACAACGCGGCGAAUUCGUAUACUAUGAACUACGUGUGAAUAUCUAAGUGGCUGUAAGAAAUGAUUGUUUGACAAUAGCAAUAAAU